rnacentral:rRNA from 1 species
UACGUAGGGUGCGAGCGUUGUCCGGAUUUAUUGGGCGUAAAGAGCUCGUAGGCGGUUUGUCGCGUCGGCCGUGAAAUCUCCACGCUUAACGUGGAGCGUGCGGUCGAUACGGGCAGACUUGAGUUCGGUAGGGGAGACUGGAAUUCCUGGUGUAGCGGUGAAAUGCGUAGAUAUCUGGAGGAACACCGAUGGCGAAGGCGGCGCUCUGGGCCGGAACUGACGCUGAGGAGCGAAAGCGUGGGUAGCAAACAGG